ensembl:snoRNA U3 Small nucleolar RNA U3
AAGACUAUACUUUCAAGGAUCAUUUCUAUAGUUUAUUACUAGAGAAGUUUCUCUGAAUGUGCAGAGUACCCAAAAUUUAAGAU